ACGCUCGACACCUACGGGGGCAGCAGUGGGGAAUAUUGCACAAUGGAGGAAACUCUGAUGCAGCGAUGCCGCGUGAGGGAAGAAGGUUUUCGGAUUGUAAACCUCUGUCUUUGGGGACGAUAAUGACGGUACCCAAGGAGGAAGCUCCGGCUAACUACGUGCCAGCACGCCGACGGUAAUCUGAGGCGGGCGUGGACGAAGGC
rnacentral:rRNA from 1 species